UCGUAACAAGGUUUCCGUAGGUGAACCUGCGGAAGGAUCAUUACCGAGUGAGGGCCCUCUGGGUCCAACCUCCCACCCGUGUUUAUCGUACCUUGUUGCUUCGGCGGGCCCGCCGCAAGGCCGCCGGGGGGCAUCUGCCCUCUGGCCCGCGCCCGCCGAAGACACCAUUGAACGCCGUCUGAAGAUUGCAGUCUGAGCAAUUAGUUAAAUAACUUAAAACUUUCAACAACGGAUCUCUUGGUUCCGGCAUCGAUGAAGAACGCAGCGAAAUGCGAUACGUAAUGUGAAUUGCAGAAUUCAGUGAAUCAUCGAGUCUUUGAACGCACAUUGCGCCCCCUGGUAUUCCGGGGGGCAUGCCUGUCCGAGCGUCAUUGCUGCCCUCAAGCACGGCUUGUGUGUUGGGCUCCGUCCUCCUUCCGGGGGACGGGCCCGAAAGGCAGCGGCGGCACCGCGUCCGGUCCUCGAGCGUAUGGGGCUUCGUCACCCGCUCUGUAGGCCCGGCCGGCGCUUGCCGACACAUCAAUCUUUUUUCCAGGUUGACCUCGGAUCAGGUAGGGAUACCCGCUGAACUUAAGCAUAUCAAUAA
rnacentral:misc_RNA from 1 species